rnacentral:rRNA from 1 species
ACACGACUACAUUAGAUACCCCGGUAGUCCCAGCCCUAAACGAUGCGCGUUAGGUGUAUCGGUGACCACGAGUCACCGAGGUGCCGAAGGGAAACCGUGAAACGUGCCGCCUGGGAAGUACGGUCGCAAGGCUGAAACUUAAAGGAAUUGGCGGGGGAGUACCACAACGGGUGGAGCCUGCGGUUUAAUUGGACUCAACGCCGGGAAGCUCACCGGAUAAGACAGCGGAAUGAUUGCCGGGCUGAAGACCCUGCAUGACCAGCUG